GGCCAUUUGUAUGUCGUAUUUUGGGAAAUGUCUGUUCAAGUCCUUUGAUCAUUUUAAAACUCUGGUUAUUUGUUUUCUUCCUACUGAGUUGUUUGAGUUUCUUAUCUACACUUUAGAUCAUAACAACCCCUUCUCAGAUACAUGGUUUGCAAAUGUAUUCUCUCACUCUGUGGAGUCUCACUCUGUAGCCCAAGCUGGAGUGGCGUGAUCUCGACUCACUGCAACCUCCGCCUCCUGGGAUCAAGUGAUUCUCGUGCCUCAGCCUCCUGAGUAGCCGGGACUACAGGUCACAGAAUUUUCCACACUCCUUGACAGAGGUGCUUAACCCUUAUCCAUCAGCAUUCUCAGACAGCACCUCCGGUUAGGGACAGUAUCUGACCGUCCGACAUCCCUGCAGCCCCCAUGUGUCACACAGACUCAGCCUCAGGUAGAUGGUUUCCGUAGAUGGUGGCUUUCUUUGGACCCUUGACAUCAACCAGUUACUAUUUGGUCUAGGGGUCUCACCAACGCUGCUCAUCUAGCAGGGCCACACAUAACAAAUAGAAGCAGAGCAAGCCCUGGAACUCCUGCCUGACAGUGACACGACGACAGAAACAUCUUACCAGUCAGAGGACCAUGAGAAAUAGAUUCAAGGAGCAUUCCACGUGCAAGUGAGUCUUGGCCCCAUCUGCCUUUGGAUUUUAGCCGUGAACUGGAAGGUAUUGGAAAGAAGACCCUCAGAAAUAGCUUAAUCAAAAUCCCUGCGUCUGAACCAAGUGCCUUAUUUCUCUGUGGGCCUCAAGCUUCGCUGACAUCUGUGGAGCACACUGUCCUAACAGGAGUGCUGUCUGAUUUCCCAACGCUCUGCAAAACAAACAGCCUGGAAGGGUGGCUGGUGGAAGGUGGUUUUUAGAGAGAGACUUGUAGAUAACAGGAAAGUGAAGGCUGUAAGGAAGGUUGUAAUUAAACAGCACAUGGAAACACAAUCACAUUAUUGUCCCAUUCCAUAGGGAUAAUGAUGACCACUUCAGUGGGAAAAGGAGAGGUUUUAAGUCAUUAGGGACUAUGGGCCACCUUUUAGGAAGAUUUAUUUUCAAAGGUUAAAAUAGUGUUUUGGCAAUUCAAGUUUCAUUUUCAGAAAAUGUAAUUGAUGGGAACCUCAGUGACUCUGGAUGAAUAAGAUGCUGUUGAGUGGCUCUGACUUGGGCCAGCCGUGCUUCUCACAGGACCUUGGAGACCAAGGUCACUGUGAUCUCAGGUUCAGGGGGCAAGUCCUCUCCACACAGCCCUAGUUGGCCUCACAGCUGAAAAUGUCUCCCUUACUGUUGGACUCCUUUGUUCACCCACAUGAGUUUGUGAAUAAAUCCUUUCCAGUCUGAAA
rnacentral:lncRNA from 1 species